AACGAACGCUGGCGGCAUGCCUAACACAUGCAAGUCGAACGAGACCUUCGGGUCUAGUGGCGCACGGGUGCGUAACGCGUGGGAACCUGCCCUUAGGUUCGGAAUAACUCCCCGACAGGGGUGCUAAUACCGGAUAAUGUCUUCGGACCAAAGAUUUAUCGCCUUUGGAUGGGCCCGCGUUGGAUUAGCUAGUUGGUAGGGUAAAAGCCUACCAAGGCGACGAUCCAUAGCUGGUCUGAGAGGAUGAUCAGCCACACUGGGACUGAGACACGGCCCAGACUCCUACGGGAGGCAGCAGUGGGGAAUAUUGGACAAUGGGCGAAAGCCUGAUCCAGCAAUGCCGCGUGAGUGAUGAAGGCCUUAGGGUUGUAAAGCUCUUUUACCCGGGAUGAUAAUGACAGUACCGGGAGAAUAAGCUCCGGCUAACUCCGU
rnacentral:rRNA from 1 species